GACGAACGCUGGCGGCGCGCUUAACACAUGCAAGUCGAACGGAAAGGCCUGCUUUUCCUUGUGGAUUGCGGGUACUCGAGUGGCGAACGGGUGAGUAACACGUGUGUGUUCUGCCCCCAACUUGGGUAUAAGCCUGGGAAACUGGGUCUAAUUCCCGAUAGGACUGCAGGGUGGUGCCUGUGGUGGAAAACGUUUUUCUAGUGGUUGGGGAUGAGCUCGCGGCCUAUCAGCUUGUUGAUGGGGUAAUGGCCUACCACGGCGGCGACUGGUAGUCGGACUGGGAGCGGCGACGGCGACAUUGAGACAGGGACACGACCCAGACGCGUGCGAGAGGCAGCAGUGGGGAAGCAAGCACAAUGAGCGGAAGGGUGAUGCGGCGAGGCAGCGUGGAAGGUGACGGCAUUCGGAUUGUAAGCUCCUUGCGACCACGAGGAAGGCACCUGGUUAGGAGGGUCGUGACGGUAGUGGUAGAAGAAGCACCGGCUAACUACGUG
rnacentral:rRNA from 1 species